AACGAACGCUGGCGGCAUGCCUAACACAUGCAAGUCGAACGAGAUCUUCGGGUCUAGUGGCGCACGGGUGCGUAACGCGUGGGAAUCUGCCCUUUGGUUCGGAAUAACAGUUGGAAACGACUGCUAAUACACGAUGAUGACGAAAGUCCAAAGAUUUAUCGCCAGAGGAUGAGCCCGCGUAGGAUUAGCUAGUUGGUGUGGUAAAGGCGCACCAAGGCGACGAUCCUUAGCUGGUCUGAGAGGAUGAUCAGCCACACUGGGACUGAGACACGGCCCAGACUCCUACGGGAGGCAGCAGUGGGGAAUAUUGGACAAUGGGCGAAAGCCUGAUCCAGCAAUGCCGCGUGAGUGAUGAAGGCCUUAGGGUUGUAAGGCUCUUUUACCCGGGAUGAUAAUGACAGUACCGGGAGAAUAAGCUCCGGCUAACUCCGUGCCAGCCGCCGCCGUAA
rnacentral:rRNA from 1 species